rnacentral:rRNA from 1 species
UGAUGUCCCGGUUCAAGCGUGUAGUCAUACCCUUUAGGCAAAUCCGGAGGGUUUAGAUGAGGCGUGAUAACGAGGAGGCUUGCCUCUGAAGUGAACGAUACCCUGCUUCCAGGAAAAGCCACUAAGCUUCAGCUACAUACGACCGUACCGCAAACCGACACUGGUGCGCGAGAUGAGUAUUCUAAGGCGCUUGAGAGAACUCUGGAGAAGGAACUCGGCAAAUUGACACCGUAACUUCGGAAGAAGGUGUGCCUUUAGUAGGUGAUCCAUUUACUUGGUGAGCCCAAUGAGGCCGCAGAGAAUCGGUGGCUGCAACUGUUUAUUAAAAACACAGCACUCUGCAAAGACGAAAGUCGACGUAUAGGGUGUGACGCCUGCCCGGUGCUGGAAGAUUAAAUGAUGGGGUGCAAGCUCUUGACUGAAGUCCCAGUAAACGGCGGCCGUAACAAUAACGGUCCUAAGGUAGCGAAAUUCCUUGUCGGGUAAGUUCCGACCUGCACGAAUGGCGUAAUGAUGGCCACACUGUCUCCUCCAGAGACUCAGCGAAGUUGAAAUGUUUGUGAUGAUGCAAUCUCCCCGCGGAAAGACGGAAAGACCCCAUGAACCUUUACUGUAGCUUUACAUUGGACUUUGGACAGAUCUGUGUAGGAUAGGUGGGAGGCUUUGAAGCGGUGCCGCUAGGUGUCGUGGAGCCAACGUUGAAAUACCACCCUGGUGUGUUUGAGGUUCUAACCUUGGCCCGUUAUCCGGGUUGGGGACAGUGUAUGGUGGGCAGUUUGACUGGGGCGGUCUCCUCCCAAAGCGUAACGGAGGAGUUCGAAGGUACGCUAGGCACGGUCGGAAAUCGUGCUGAUAGUGCAUUGGCAUAAGCGUGCUUGACUGCGAGACUGACAAGUCGAGCAGGUACGAAAGUAGGACAAAGUGAUCCGGUGGUUCUGUAUGGAAGGGCCAUCGCUCAACGGAUAAAAGGUACUCUGGGGAUAACAGGCUGAUACCGCCCAAGAGUUCAUAUCGACGGCGGUGUUUGGCACCUCGAUGUCGGCUCAUCUCAUCCUGGGGCUGUAGCCGGUCCCAAGGGUAUGGCUGUUCGCCAUUUAAAGAGGUACGUGAGCUGGGUUUAAAACGUCGUGAGACAGUUUGGUCCCUAUCUUCCGUGGGCGCUGCAAGAUUGAGAGAGCCUGCUCCUAGUACGAGAGGACCGGAGUGGACGCACCUCUGGUGUAUCGGUUGUCACGCCAGUGGCAUUGCCGAGUAGCUAAGUGCGGAAGAGAUAACCGCUGAGGCAUCUAAGCGGGAAACUCGUCUCAAGAUGAGUCUUGCCGGGGCCUUGAGCCCCCUGAAGGGUCGUUCGAGACCAGGACGUUGAUAGGCUGGGUGUGGAAGCGCAGUAAUGCGUUAAGCUAACCAGUACUAAUUGCCCGUGAGGCUUGACCC